AUAAAGUUUAUUAUUAAAAAUCAGCAUGCCUCGAAGAUCGAAAAUGAAAUGCUAUUUCGGAUGCCUUGAUAACGACAAAGGUUUGAUGAUGACAAAAUUUUAUGGAAAAAUUAUAAGGAGCACAAAAAUGUCUGAAACAUGAAAAGAUUGAUGCACUAUAUUUGAACCAGAACGUGUUAUGUAAUAUAUUAAUUUGUAAGUAUGAUUACAUUAACACUAAAUUUUUCAUGGUCGUAUUUUUUCAAUAUUUGUUACAUACUUAAGAUACUUUGUUUCUCCGUUUCAGAAGAGAAACUGAUUCAGCAAGGAACGUGAACUCUCAAGGAUCUUAAUUUUUUUUAAAUAUGUUUAUAAUUUAUAAAUUAAUAAUUGAAAUAGUUCAUAAGAACUAAAUUGAUGCCAAUUUUGUUUUAAAAUAGGUUGUUUAGUUCUUAUAGUUAUAGUAUUACGUUUGAAUAGUUGUAAUUAGUAA